rnacentral:rRNA from 1 species
UGAACGCUGGCGGUAUGCUUUACACAUGCAAGUCGUACGGGAGUUUUUAACUCAAGUGGCGGACGGGUGAGUAACACGUAAGAAUUUACCUUUAGGAGGGGGAUAACAACUGGAAACGGUUGCUAAUACCCCAUAUGCUUUCGAGUGAAAUGGAUUUUUCCGCCUAGAGAGAAGCUUGCGGCUGAUUAGCUUGUUGGUGAGGUAAUGGCUCACCAAGGCGACGAUCAGUAUCUGGUUUGAGAGGAUGAUCAGACACACUGGAACUGAGACACGGUCCAGACUCCUACGGGAGGCAGCAGUGGGGAAUUUUCCGCAAUGGGCGAAAGCCUGACGGAGCAAUACCGCGUGAGGGAUGACGGCCUAUGGGUUGUAAAGCGCUUUUAUCAGGGAAGAAGGCAUACAUGCGUUAACAGCGUAGUAUGUUUGACGGUACCU